UCACUGGACCCCGGUGAAGGAGUUGAGCAGAGUAAUAUCUGAGCGAAAAAAUUGAGGGGCGUGCUUUGGUUGUGCUCUCAGCCAGGUUAUUUUACGAGGGUUGUGUGCACUGAACCCCAUUUCUCUGGACCAAGGGACGAUGAACAAGAUGGGAAUGAGAAGGAUGCUACUAAUCCGGAGUAGUAAUAUUGGAUUACAAGUCAUGGGUUAGUAGUUAACUGCAGAAAUCAGAAUAUUGGAUAGCAGUAACUAAGGCCAUUGGCAAUUUCUAUCAUAUAUCAUAAUUUAUUUGUGUGAUUCCUUUACCAACUACAUGUUUCUAUUUGUUUCCUAUAUUUUGUUUGUUCCUGAAUAUUUUAUGAAUUGUGUAUUUCUAUUUUAAUACAUAAGACUCUUUUUCAUGCAAUUUACUGAAUGGCCUAUAUGAGAAGCCCUAAAUAAAGCUAUUCCUCAUUUGUACACUUUCUUACUUAUAUAGUUCAAAAUAUGGAAUUCUCUGCAGGUUAACUAAUACAUGCAUCAGCUUUGUAUCAUAAAGAUUUCACCAUCCCAAGGUAAUCGAAAUAAGUUCACAAGAUUCUCAUGUUGAGGUCUGUACAAAGAGAUACAAGGCAAUGUCUGUGUGCUGGAAGGAGAAACUCACUGCCAAAGCUAUAAUCCCUGAUGCUAAAGCCUGCAUGUUCAGAUCUGCAGAGUUUACUCAUAUUACUGUAUGAAUGAUUAAUACAGAGGGAGCCCUUUUGUCAGGUCAUUUAAUCAUUAAAUCAUACGUACAUCAUCUCAGGUAACUUACUACUACCUUUGUUCGAAAAUAAGUGCCGUUAACUUAGUACACCUUUGCACUAAAAUUGUACUAAAUCCGUGACACUUAUUUUGGGACAGAGGGAGUAUUUCAUUUUCUACCUGAACCAAGUUGUUAUUUCAUCUCUAAGAGGCAAAGAGUUCCUCAUGGUUAGUUUGCCACAUUUUAUAUGUCUAUCUAUGUGCAUUACUAAUUCACUAUAUGCACCUUUAGUUCCCAGUUUUGGCUCACUUUCUUGAUGCAUCUCGGAUGAGAGGAAAGGAAUGGAUAAUCUGACAAGCAAUGUUCGGGCAUACCCUUAUAUUUACGUCUGAUGUAAUGCUGCGGAUGCAAACUAAUCAAGACUACUGCCAUGAGCAAAAGAGCAGACAUUACUUAUGAGAAAACAAUAAAAGAAUCUUCCGUGACUACAUACCACGACGAGUCAAAGACGAUGAAAGCACUACUCCAUUGGUGG